GACGAACGCUGGCGGCGUGCUUAACACAUGCAAGUCGAGCGGUAAGGCCCUUUCGGGGGUACGACGAGCGGCGAACGGGUGAGUAACACGUGGGUGACCUGCCCUCAGCUCUGGGAUAAGCCUGGGAAACCGGGUCUAAUACUGGAUAUGACUCCAUGACGCAUGUUGUGGGGUGGAAAGCCUUGUGCGGCUGAGGAUGGGCCCGCGGCCUAUCAGCUUGUUGGUGGGGUGANGGCCUACCAAGGCGACGACGGGUAGCCGGCCUGAGAGGGCGACCGGCCACACUGGGACUGAGACACGGCCCAGACUCCUACGGGAGGCAGCAGUGGGGAAUAUUGGACAAUGGGGGAAACCCCUGAUCCAGCGACGCCGCGUGUGUGAAGAAGGCCUGCGGGUUGUAAAGCAC
rnacentral:rRNA from 1 species